UACGAAGGGGGCUAGCGUUGCUCGGAAUCACUGGGCGUAAAGCGCACGUAGGCGGCUUUUUAAUUCAGGGGUGAAAUCCUGGAGCUCAACUCCAGAACUGCCUUUGAUACUGAGAAGCUUGAGUCCGGGAGAGGUGAGUGGAACUGCGAGUGUAGAGGUGAAAUUCGUAGAUAUUCGCAAGAACACCAGUGGCGAAGGCGGCUCACUGGCCCGGUACUGACGCUGAGGUGCGAAAGCGUGGGGAGCAAACAGG
rnacentral:rRNA from 1 species